AACACGUUAGUAAUAUAUGUUUCUCUAACUAUUACGUUAUUAAUUAUUAUUAUUAUUAUCAUCAUCAUCAUCAUCAUCAUCAUCAUCAUCAUUGUAUACAAUAUGACUUUUAUAAUAUUGUAUCGCGAAAUUUAAAUUUAAAUCGAAAACAUUAUCGGUUUGUAGUGAGCUCGUUGAUCUCAUUAUCGUUCACGUUUGAAACAGAUGAUCGUGCUAAGUACGAUUAAAAAUAAUAUUGCAAAAAGUCACUCGACCGGAACGCACUGCACGUAGGUAUGGGUAUUACUAUUAUUAUAUAUUUAUAUCAGUGCAAAGUUCUUUGCUCCGGAAAAACGCAGUGCACUUGCGGUGUACCUACACAACAAACAGCAGCGGUCCAUUUGCAAUUCGAUGGCAACGGAGAGAUUAAAAACAAAACGGCAUUUGUCGUGAGUGUUAUGAAUUAAAAUAAUAUAUAUCUCGGCCUUAACAAUAUCUAAGGUACAGUCGAUCGCGGCAUGGAGAAUCCGCGGACACCACCGCCGAAUAUUCGUUGUCAUGAUUUUGAGCCAUAAUAACAUUGUUCGAUGGUUCAUCGAUAUGACGCAAAUAAUGAAUCUGGAUGAUGUUUUUAAUCGUUUUAGUUUUUUGAAUGACGUCAUACAUUUUAAAUUUCUUAUCCCUAAGCAGAUAAUAUAAUAUUUCUGAGAAUUUCAAUAUUUUAUGAUUUUAUAAAUUACAAUUUUAUCGAGUUAUUAAUUACUCAUAACUUAAGUAUUUAAAGUUAAAUUUCACUAUGUCACUCCACUCUGUCCAUCUCAACUUAGAAAAUAUUUAAUACUAAUUAGUGACUAGUUAAAAAUUUUCAAAAAUGUAUUUUUCUUCAAAAUAUGAAAUUAAAAUAAUUUUAAAAUAUGUUGUUUCGUGUGUUUGUAAUGACUUCUCGAACACUUAAUAUAAAAAAAAUGUUUUCGAAAAUGCUAAUUCCUUAUGAGACAAUGAGUGUUUGCUGUUAAAAAAAAUCUCCCUGUAUACAAUGAUGUGUAUUCUCGACUUGACAAAAAACUUACAUACGCACAUUCGCAGAUUACGCGAGAUUUUUAAAUAUAGGUCAACACAACAUAUUAUUAUUGUUAUGUGUUGUGGACGUCUCGCGAUUCGGGUGAAAAUAAUAAGAUGAAACGCGCAAUAGUUAUUGUAUUGCACCACUUCGAGCAUUUGUUUAUGAAUUUAUGACAGAUAUGACAGUAAUACAGGUCCAGAAGGGAUUCUGGGAAUCUUCUAGAAUUCUAGAAGUCUACACAAACAUUAAUAAUUUAUCAAUAUUUAUAAUAUUGUCUACAUUACACAUAAUUAUACCUAUUAGUAUUUACAUUUAUCAAUUAUCAUUAGCAGUCGGCGGGUACAAGGUUUAGUGGGUACAAGAUUUUGUUUAUGAUUCAGCUGCUAACAUUUUAUUGCGGAUUUCUAAAGCACAAUCGCUAAAAAUAAUAAAUACUAUAAAUUAUAAUAAUCGUUUUUAUUUUUUAUCAUAUCAUUGAAAUUCUUUUAAAAAAGGGCUUUCAAUUUAUUAUUGAUUUUGUGUGAGGAUAACAGAUUAUAAGUCGAGUGUCGAAAAAUGUUGAAGAAUAUCUAUCUCAGUCGUUCAAUAGUGGGUGUACCUAUUGCUAGGUAUACUAUUAUGGAGGUUUAGGGUAUAGACCAUUAUUAGACAUUGAUCGGUGGAAUCGCGCUCCAGCUGGAUUUGGCGAAAUAUCGGGUGUGUGCGAUGCGAAACUAUACGUCGAAGAGCUCGUAAUGAUUAUGGUCAUUAUAGCGCGCAACAGUCGAAUCAGUUAAGAUGAAAAUGUGAGCAGAAAAAAUGAACGGCGGAGGUCGGACUAUCGAUGCGAACAUCGGCCGAACAACAAUAAUAUAUUAUUAUAAUAAAUAUUGUGCACGCGCCGCUGUGCGAGCCAGAUGACGGGCGAAAAAAAAAAAGAAAAACGAAUAGAAACGAAAUAAAAACCGCCAGGAAUAGAUUCGCGUUCGGCACAGUUUUAGACGGCUCCAAGGUCGGCGGCUCUUUUCAGGUGUGGGUCUUUAUUAUAAUAACGAUCGUUUCGCGUGUCCGUGGUUGUCUACACACGUUGUCAUCACAAUAGACUCCUCAGCCUCGGUGUACACAGAAUCGCCAACGACGAUAAGGCCGGUUGCAAGCCUCCUCCUCCGCGUUUUGAUCGGCCGGACCACACUUUCUAUACCAUGUCUAUCAAAUGGUAAAAUCCCGCGUUACUUACCGAAACCAAAAUAUGUGAAACCACAGCGCCGUGAAGCUGAAAUAUCGCAUGUUUUUCGUAAUGUGAUAACAAUACACUGACACGAAGCAUGAAAAUGGGCCGACCGAUUUAAAAACCAAAAUAACGUGUAGUGGACGACGGAGCACGACAAAUCAGCAAUAUUUCGGAUUAAAGGGUUAAAUUGCACGAUAAUAUCUGGGAAUAAUAGACAACUUUUAGUCAAAUCCAGCGACACAUACAAUUUCCACAAUUUCCUUAAAAAUUAAUAUUAUUUCCGGAUAAAAAUAACCUAAACACUAUCAAAAAUUUCCUUGAAAACAAAUACACUACUGUUAAGAAAUCGACUGUUUAACUUACAGCAUUUUGAACGAUUUAUUUUAAUUAAACUAACAAUAAUAUAAAAACUAAAUUUUAAACUAUUCCAUUAUCUCAUCUAGAUGAUUGCAUUGCAAAAUAUCUGUCAUAUAAUCUAAAUAACUAUUUAAGUAUUUGUGAAUGACACUGUGACCAUACUAGCAUACUGCAGUUCAUCCAUAUUCGAUACUUUCCGGAUUUAUAUAAAUAUCAGGAGAACUUCACCAGAAAGCUUAAUAGUAAUAGAUGAAAGUAAAAAAUCUUCAUCUUGAACAGCCAGAUGACGUAUAUAUAAAAAGGCAAUGUGUGUGUAGUUGAGAUUAAUAAACUCAACAAAAAUUUGAAAGAUUGUUAAAAAGGAAAGUUAAAAAAUAGUUUGAACCACAUCCAAAUGUUGGCGCUAGAGGCUAGACAAAUUUUUUUUAAUUUUUGUUAAUUACAUUCGUAACUUAUGCAUGCUUUAUAACUUCGUAUUUACGCCAUUUUUGUUAAUGAUUCGAAACUUCAUUCGAAAACUACUAAUUAAAAACUUAACACAUGAGAAAAAAAUAUACAGGAACAUUUAAUUAAUGUGGAAUAUAAGGUUAAAUUGAAAAAAAACACUUAAAUCGUUAGUAUAUAUUUAUUAUUUAUUAUUUAUUAUAUUAUUCCACACCUUAACCACUCACACACCGGGCAAAAUUUUUCAAGAGCGAAACCGAGUGAUUAGGUAGUACCAAAAUUAUAUGAUAAUAAUAUCUAAGAUAAUUAUAAGAGAACACUCCGACAGCCGUCUUUUUAAUAUUAUGCUAAACAAAUAAAGACCUGCCCACCAAAUUACUGGGCGAUACACUACUGAAAAAAUGUACAUAACAUAUUAUAGAUACACCUAUAACAGAUCAUUAUAUAUACAUCAUGUUAUAUAUUUAUAUAUUUAGGUAUUGUUCACUGUGGCAAUCCGCGGAAUAGUGUUCCUCUUAGAGAUUUAAAGUGUUUGCUGGAUGUACUCGAGAGAAUGGUACCGGUUUAUAAUAUGUAUAAUUUUCGCAUUCUUUUAAGAGUAAACCCCCAUCUGCUAGUGUCGGUCACUGUGGAAAACAUAAGCGGCAAAAUGAGAUUUCAAAAAAAAGUCGUAUCGUAAACUCCGAAAUCUAACAGUACGAAAGCAUCAAAAUCCUAGUUAGUAUCAAAUAACAGGUAUUCAAUUUAGAACUAUAUCGUAACUAUAUAAGAUCAAUUUUACGUGGCUCGUUGUUCUGUUUAUAAUUGAUGUAUUAUUAAAAUUACAAAGUGAAACAUAUUUAUUUAUUUCUCCUUCUAACAAAAAACUAAGGAUAUCUCACUAAGAAAUAAUUGUACAAUGAAUAAAUACCAGUGCAGUGUAAUAGAUCGUAUAGAAUGCCUGAAUGCGUACAAAAGUGGGAUUACAAAAUCAACUGAUUUAUCAAAUUUACAUUUAUUUGUACGCAUACUACUAUAAGUUUGGCGCAAAUGAUAUUCCAUUUUUGCAACUUUGGUGACUAUGUUCAUAUUAAAGGUGAACAAUGACAAACAAUCAAUGAUAUACGGCAUCACUGCAUCAGCCCUCCGAAAAAAUUAUAUGGACGGAUUUCCACCUACGGCCUAUAACGGCACAACCCCUUUCGCGCAGUCGCUCGGCCGCCGAGCACUUGACCUAGUUCCCAAAAUUCUCCCGACGACCCUCACCCAGUUUUUCAGCCGUCCGCGUGCAAGCGCCUCGGCUCGUUUACGAUAAACAACGAACGAGCUGGCUCUGUAUAAUAAUUUGAUAUGGGAAUAAAUACAGCCCACUUUAACUGGGUAAUUUAUUAUGAUAUUAUGCAAACAACCAAAGUACAAUUAUUUAUUAUUGUGUUUUACUGAUGUAGCUGAUUUCGGCGGAUUCGUUGGAAGGUCGUGUCAUGGUCCAGAAUGCAGAGAAUCUUGCAUAUUAUACUAAAAAGUACAACGUUUUGCAAGGAACACAAAAAUGUGUAUCACAGAGAUAUUUUAUAUGAAGAAUUUAAUUUUUUUUUUAUAACUAGAAGUCUACACAUUUGAGUACAUAAUAUACCUAAAUACCUAAUACACAAAAGUGAUUACAUUUCUAAUAAAAUUGAUUUUAUUCGAAGGCAUUAAUUAAAAUCUGUAUAUACACUGAGAGUUGGAACUAAAAAGACGCAUAAAAUACAUUGUAUGCUAUGCCUGCAGAAC